rnacentral:rRNA from 1 species
UACGUAGGGGGCGAGCGUUGUCCGGAUUUACUGGGCGUAAAAGGUUCGUAGGUGGCUCGUCCAGUCGGACGUGAAAUCUCCCGGCUUAACUGGGAGGGGUCGUUCAAUACUAGCGGGCUCGAGGCCGGUAGAGGGAAGCGGAAUUCCGGGUGUAGUGGUGGAAUACGUAGAUAUCCGGAGGAACACCAGUGGCGAAGGCGGCUUCCUGGACCGGUUCUGACACUGAGGAACGAAAGCGUGGGGAGCGAUCCGG